rnacentral:rRNA from 1 species
CCUACGGGAGGCAGCAGUGGGGAAUAUUGGACAAUGGGCGAAAGCCUGAUCCAGCAAUGCCGCGUGAGUGAUGAAGGCCUUCGGGUCGUAAAGCUCUUUUACCAGGGAUGAUAAUGACAGUACCUGGAGAAUAAGCUCCGGCUAACUCCGUGCCAGCAGCCGCGGUAAUACGGAGGGAGCUAGCGUUGUUCGGAAUUACUGGGCGUAAAGAGUACGUAGGCGGUUAUUCAAGUCAGAGGUGAAAGCCCGGGGCUCAACCCCGGAACUGCCUUUGAAACUAGAUAACUAGAGUCUUGGAGAGGUUAGUGGAAUUCCGAGUGUAGAGGUGAAAUUCGUAGAUAUUCGGAAGAACACCGGUGGCGAAGGCGACUAACUGGACAAGUACUGACGCUGAGGUACGAAAGCGUGGGGAGCAAACAGGAUUAGAUACCCUGGUAGUCCACGCCGUAAACGAUGAUAACUAGUUGUUCGGUCACUUGGUGACUGAGUGACGCAGCUAACGCAUUAAGUUAUCCGCCUGGGGAGUACGGUCGCAAGAUUAAAACCUUAAAGGAAUUGACGG